rnacentral:rRNA from 1 species
GACGAACGCUGGCGGCGCGCUUAACACAUGCAAGUCGAACGGAAAGGCCUGCUUUCCCUUGUGGAUUGCGGGUACUCGAGUGGCGAACGGGUGAGUAACACGUGAGUGAUCUGCCCCCAACUUGGGUAUAGGCCCGGGAAACUGGGUCUAAUUCCCGAUAGGACUGCAGGGUGGUGCCUGUGGUGGAAAACGAUUUUCUAGUGGUUGGGGAUGAGCUCGCGGCCUAUCAGCUUGUUGGUGGGGUAAUGGCCUACCAAGGCGGCGACGGGUAGCCGGCCUGAGAGGGUGGACGGCCACAUUGGGACUGGGAUACGGCCCAGACUCCUACGGGAGGCAGCAGUGGGGAAUAUUGCACAAUGGGCGGAAGCCUGAUGCAGCGACGCCGCGUGGGGGAUGACGGCCUUCGGGUUGUAAACUCCUUUCGACCGCGAGGAAGCCACCUGGUUGGAAGGGUGGUGACGGUAGUGGUAGAAGAAGCACCGGCUAACUACGUG